CCUCUUCCUGAGGCCUACGUGGAGCUCUCGACGUGGAGUCCGGGCGUUGGACCUUACCCAUGGGAAGGAAGGCAAGACAAAAGUCUGCAGCUGCCAGGAAGUCCAAGCACAGGAAGUUGUGGGGUGGAGUCUUGGUACCCUCCCAAUGUGGGCGGGACUAUAGGAAGCCACCAGCAGAGAAAGUACUGGGCCUGAGGCUAUAAUUCUCUUUCUGUACCCCUUAGAGCAUGAGGGAGGCUGUCACGUGGUGUUCCCAUGCUCUGGGCCUGGGCCCUUUUUGGUAGCAGAGUCAGAGUGCAGAGGAGAGAACAAUACCAGGACUCCAUUUGCUUGAUAGUGGUCUCAGGUAAAACUAAAUUGCUUGGAGGUAGUAAGGCCUUGAAGAGAAGUGGAACCACCCAUCCAAGCCAAGAAGGGUUAGCACUUCUAGGAAGACACACUGCGCACAAACAGAUGAGGACCAAAAACAAAUGAAGAGGAUUGAAGAUGAACCCACAUUUUAAGUCUUUGUCUACCGGAGGUGGCAUUACGUGUGACCUCGCUUCACUUCUUCAUACAUAGCAGAAAAUCCACUUUCUGAAGCAUCCUUAAUAUGAAAAGAUUUGUUUGAUAUGAGACCUGAAAAAUCUAUGAUAGAAGGAAGCAACUCAAACUACAAGGAUAUUCCACAUAUAUCAUAAUAUGAACAGGUGGCCAAAAACAGGUGUUAUUUGGAAGAAAAACCUCUUUCUAGAAUGAAGUGUAAAGAAAUUUUCAGCUGGAAAAACUAUAUAUUGAUAUAGAAGCACCCAUUUCCAUAUUAGAUGUUACAGAAGACUUUGUAUAAAAUGAUUCCAAGUAUGGGUCAAAUUAAAAUUGAGGUGAAACAAAUAUGCAUAUGUAUGUGUAUAACAUGUAGUGUUUUUUAUAUAUGCUAUUAAUAAAAUCUAUAAACAGGGUGGGACCAGCAGUUAGCAUAGUGGCUAUGUCGCUGAACUCCCA